GGGCUUUUACGUAAAUGUAGUCUACCGCUGGGAGGGUCAGAAAGUAGAGCGAGCAAGGGGCUUUCAGCCUCUCGAAAGAGAUGUCCUCUCUCUGUUAUGCUUCAUCUCGCUUGGUUCCAAAAGCUACAGCUUCCCCUCAGCAAGAUUCAGCAUCAACUCAGCCCCAAAUUGGAAGAAGGGAAGUUGUGCUGAGGAGCAGUGGACUAGCAACAUUUGCAGCCAUUUUCCAUUUCAGUGGGACGAAGCCUAACUAUCUCGGAGUGCAAAAGAACCCUCCAUCUCUGGCUUUAUGUCCUGCAACCAACAACUGUCUAUCUACUUCAGAGGAUAUGACUGAUCUUACUCACUUUGCUCCUCCGUGGAAUUACAACCCUGAAGAUGGAAAAAGAAAAAAGCCCGCCAGCCAAGAAGAAGCCAUGGAAGAGCUUCUUCAAGUGAUAAACACAACAAAGCCUGACAAUUUUACUCCUCGUAUUGUAGAGAAAAAAGAAGACUAUAUUCGUGUUGAAUAUGAGAGUCCUAUAAUGGGGUUUGUAGAUGACGUGGAGUUUUGGUUCCCACCUGGCAAGAAAUCACUUGUUCAGUAUCGAUCCGCAUCUCGUUUGGGAAAUUUUGACUUUGAUGUCAACAGGAAGAGAAUUAAGACAUUGCGUUUAGCACUGGAGAAAAAGGGUUGGGUUUCUCAGAGCAGCUUCUGAGAUUCAUCCAUGUAAUUGAUCAAAUUGUUUUAUACAACAUUUUCAUAAACUGCAAGAGCUCAGGGAUUUUUCCUACAUAAUAAAAGCGCCUCAACAGUUGGAGCCUCAUUCCAUUCUUGUAUCAACCACCAAGGGAAGCGGUGUUCAUUGAGAGUAGCCUUCAUCUUCUUUCCAGUCUUCACAUUUGUCAUAGUUGCGCACUCAUGAAUGGAAGUUACAGCAGAAUUGAUAACAGAUGCAUGAGAGAAAGGGGAGGAAUGGAAGACGCAUCUAUUUAUAGCAGAUCAUAUGCGUCACUAACAGUCGAGAAAAAUUGUCCUCCAUAAGCAUCCUUUUGUUUCUGACAUUGAGCAACUUUUCAAGCAUGACCAUAAAACUAUCAAAAGUUGUUGGUCACUGUAUCCAGUUCAUCUGAUCAACAAAAUACUUUCGGACUCGUGAAGGCAGCCGACAAGAGAAGAAAAUAUGAUCUCUUGUUUCUAGUUCCUCAUCACAGAGCAAACAUGAAGCAUCCCCUUGUUGUCCUUUCUUUUGUAAAUUUACUUUAGUAUGAAGUUUGCUGGGUAAAAUAUGAUUGCAAACAUGUAAGAAUUCUGACUUUGCUGGGUAAAAU